rnacentral:rRNA from 1 species
ACGGGGGGUGCAAGCGUUGUCCGGAAUCAUUGGGCGUAAAGCGUUCGUAGGCGGCAUACCAAGUCUGGUGUUAAAUCCCGGGGCUCAACUCCGGUCCGGCACUGGAUACUGGUAAGCUAGAAUGUAGUAGAGGUAGAGGGAAUUCCUGGUGUAGCGGUGAAAUGCGUAGAUAUCAGGCGGAACACCGAUGGCGUAGGCGGUUUACUGGGACAUAAUUGACGCUGAGGAACGAAAGCCUGGGGAGCAAAUAG